GGGCCAGUGGUCUAGUGGUAGGAUUCUCGCUUUGGGCUCUUUCAAAGAGAUUGCAAACAUGCGAGAGAUCCCGGGUUCAAUCCCCGGCUGACCCC